GAUACAGAUUUAUAAAAAUUAUAUCUGGCAUCCCUGUCGCAGAUUCAGAUUCGAGUUCAGAAAACCAGACGCAAUUCUUGAUCCUAUUGUUAUUAUUUAUACGAUUUGGAUAUUCCAACAUUUCUAGUUAUUUCGAGGAAGCAUUAGCGGGGAUACUUUACGUGCAAGGUGAAAAAGGUCAAUACCGGCUUUUGUCAAUAAAGGACAGAAUAAACAAUGCGGCUCAUCAUCCUGGACACGGCCGAUUACGUGGGCGAAUGGUCGGCCAAGUACGUCAUGAAGCGCAUCAAUGACUUCAAACCGGGCCCGGACCGGUUCUUCACGCUGGGCCUCCCAACCGGAUCCACUCCGCUGGGCUUGUACCGCAAUCUGAUCAAAUUCCACCAAGCGGGCAGGAUUUCCUUCAAGUACGUGAAAACAUUCAACAUGGACGAGUACGUGGAUUUGCCGCGGGACCAUCCGGAGAGCUAUCACUACUUCAUGUGGCACAACUUCUUCAAACAUAUCGACAUCGAUCCGGUGAAUGUGCACAUUUUGGAUGGAAAUGCGCCGGAUUUGGUGGCCGAGUGUAAUGCAUUCGAGGAUAAGAUCAAAGCUGCCGGAGGAAUCGAACUGUUCAUCGGAGGAAUCGGACCGGAUGGGCACAUUGCUUUCAACGAGCCGGGGUCAAGUUUGGUGUCGCGAACGAGGGUGAAAACUCUGGCGCAAGAUACACUAGAGGCCAACGCGCGGUUCUUUGGCAACGAUAUCAGCAAAGUUCCGAAGCAAGCGCUGACCGUCGGAGUGGGGACGGUGAUGGACGCCCGGGAGGUGAUGAUUCUGAUCAUUGGUGCGCACAAGGCCUUUGCCUUGUAUAAGGCGAUUGAGGAAGGGGUUAAUCACAUGUGGACGGUCAGUGCCUUCCAGCAGCAUCCGCAUACGAUUAUGAUAUGCGAUGAGGAUGCCACGCUGGAACUUCGUGUUAAAACCGUGAAGUAUUUCAAGGCCCUGAGCAACGUUCACCACAAACUGAUUGAGGAGGGCUCGGCAGACGUAAGACAGCUGUGCAAGUAAGGUUAACGAGCAAACUUUGGACCAACGAAUCUACUUUCAAGCUUCCCCGUGACACGUAUUCACUCCCUCUUUGAACAAGAAGCCCUUUUUUAUUGACUUCCUAACCUUAUCGUGACUAUCUUUGACCUGUGCACGUUUUACCCUUAUGCAAAUUGUGCCUUGAAAGUUGAAAGGAUGUGCAAUUCGUUUGUUUGUACCCUGCGGAGACUGACCAUCAGCAGCACCACCACCACCACCGAGCCAUCAUUCGGUUUCGGAUGACCAAAGCAUCAAACGCAUCCGAGCAUCGAGCAACACCCUUUUGUGCACUGUAUCGUUCACUUCGGCUUCGCACUCAACCACACUGCAUUUGCUUUAUGUUAACAUACACCGUACUGCUGUUUCGAAGACAAGCCAAAGGUGGGGGCGAGGAUCAAUAACCCACUACCUGGCAUAACGGCACUAGUUCGGCUCCUGCUGGUUUACUGGUGUGGCAAAGGAUUGUUACGUUUUGGCCGCAGCCAGCGGAAACCUUGAUGAUGCUACUCGGCCCAACUGAUGAUGUGAGUUCGAAUCUAUAGACCGAAUUAUGUAUAAAUCCAUCGAUGGGAAAUGGUUGGGUGACAUCCUUUUCGAAUAUCCUUCCAUCCACCUAGUUCAAGACGCGUUUGACCUUUGCCACAUCAUCAUUAUAAUCGCCCACCCCGAUCCGGGAAAGGAUUUUACGAACGGGACGCAACGGAAGCAAAACCUUAAGCAAGUGAAGUGUGAGUGAUUUCCGGAUGGACGAGGAUGAUCAAGAGUGUUGUAUCCACGAGGGGUGAAGCGCUGCCGAUGCUAAUCAACCCGUUCAUUCCGAUGUAGUAUUAAUUAACGGGUAUCCAACCGUCUGUUGGGAAACCCCCUCUUUUCUAUCUGAUCCAUAUCUCUGCAGAGCUUGUACGACGUCCAUUCAAAGCUGAUUGAAGGUACGUAGGAGAAAGGAAAGUGUUUCCUGCUGACGACCGGGCGAUAUGUGGCGGUGGUGACGGCUCCACCGUGUGCUGCCGAACGACCAAGCAUCACCCUUUCAGGCACUUUUCAUAGUCACUCGAUUCCAAAGGGUAGAAUUAACUUUUACGAUAAUUUGUGUUACUUUUUAGGUUUUGUAAUUCCGUUCAGAUCUGUCCCUUUAUUCCUGUACAAAAAGAUUAAAGUUGGUAUAUGUUUUCUUCUCUCCGGUAAUAAAGAAGAUUGUGUACUGAAUUUUGA